CAGCCUCCGGGACGGCAGCGCCGCCGGAGCGUUGCCCUUUUAAGCUGUGGCCCCACUUGCCUCCACCCCGGCUCCCGGAGGGGCUCCGGCAGCAGACACCGACCGACCGACCGACCGACCGACCGACCGACCGACAGACAGACCGACCUCCGUGCCCGCCUCGCUGCCGGACCGGGCAGCCCAGAGCCCCAGGGCGGCGGCGGGGCCGCGGCCACCGGGCUGCCCCUGACCUGCCCCCGCCGCUCGGGGACCAUGGGAUGCUGCACCGGCCGCUGCACCCUCAUCUUCCUCUGCACUUUGCAGCUGCUUGCUGCAUUAGAGAGGCAAGUGUUCGACUUCCUGGGAUACCAGUGGGCCCCUAUCCUGGCCAACUUCCUCCACAUCAUCAUCGUUAUCCUGGGCCUGUUUGGCACCAUCCAGUACAGACCUCGCUACAUUGUGGUGUAUGCCAUCUGGACUGCAAUUUGGGUCACCUGGAACAUCUUCAUCAUCUGCUUUUACUUAGAAGUGGGAGGGCUCUCAAAGGACAGCGAACUCCUGACGUUCAACAUCUCCCGGCACCAGUCGUGGUGGAGUGAAAAUGGCCCUGGCUGUGUGAGGAAGGAGGCUUCAAUGUCUGGCAUCAAGGGGCUGGAUAACCAUUCCUACAUCUCUGUCAUAGGCUGUGCCCUGGAGUACAGGUACAUCGAGGUCAUGCACAGCUCCUUCCAGAUCCUGAUUGCGCUGGUGGGCUUUGUCUACGCCUGUUACGUUGUUAGUGUUUUUACAGAAGAAGAAGACAGCUUUGAUUUCAUUGGUGGAUUUGAUCCAUUUCCUCUCUACCAUGUCAAUGAAAAACCCACCAACCUUUUGUUCAAGCAGACAUACCUGUAGACUUUUCCCCAAACAAACAGUUUGCUGAAUAUCAACAUGAAUUUGCAAACUCUUUUGAUCAACCUGAAGCUGCAUGUGUAAGAGGCCUGCGUAAGUGAAGAGGAGCCAGAGGAUGGAUAAACCUUGCACUCCACCAUCAAAGGUGCUGCAGGAAACAGUCCCCUGUGGCCUGGAUCUUUGGCAGAGGAAAUGCAGGAUGGCGAACUCCAUUCCAUUUUUUCGUUCCUUGUCUUCUUUCCAAAUGCAAUGAAUGUACAGAGAACGGCCACACAGUUGGUUUGUAAUUCUCCAAGUGCCCUGACGAACCUUUCCUACCAUAGUCUGCUGGUACUAGCCAGGAAAUGACACAGGCCCAGAGACCUCUGGCAGAACAAGUUCACCAAGAGCCUCUCUCAAGAGAUGCAGUUGAAGUCGGAGCUGCUUCCUUGCGGCCUUGGAUCCAUAAAGAAGGAAGCAACGCGUAAUGCCCUGGGACAUUUCAUAUGUUCUGUAGUUAGUUUCUUCCCCUUCUCCUUUCCCUUGUGCUGAAAAGAGCCUAAAUCCCCUAACACAACUUCAUCUCCUCCCUGCCUGUAUAGAACUUGGUGGGGGCUCUUUACAUUUGAGUUACUUAGGCUUUUUUGGGUUUUAAAUUAUAGUUGAGAACUCUUCCCUUCUUCCUCCCUGCCCAUCCAGGACUCCCUUCCUCAUCCCUCUGUAGACUUGGCAAUAAGCAUUUGUCCUGGAUUUCAGUGUCAUGUGACCUAACUCCUAUAAUGCUGAACAGCUAAAAACUACUACAAGCACCAAAUCUUUACUCAGCACCCAGCUUUGCCCCAUUUCAACAUGCCAAGCCAUUCUCAGAGCAGCUGUAGCUUGCUCUGGGUUUGCCCAGCUACAUUAAAUUAGCACUGGUGUAGCCACGUACACAGCUGAAUCCCCCUGCAGGACACCGAAAAAGGCCUAGUUCUUCAUGGAUCACAGGUGGGUUUGUCCCUGCCUUCUCCAUCGAGCAGCCACACUUAUUCCAGGCACAAGCCUGGCAACAUUCCCACGGAAGAUGGGUUUUUUUGUGACAGGUUUUUUGAGGGGAGGGAAAGGGCUGAAGGGGGAAUGUAAGUGUAAUUAAGUUGCAUUAAUGAGCUGCAGCAAUUAAUAAA